rnacentral:rRNA from 1 species
GAUGAACGCUGGCGGCGUGCCUAAUACAUGCAAGUCGAGCGAACAGACGAGGAGCUUGCUCCUCUGACGUUAGCGGCGGACGGGUGAGUAACACGUGGAUAACCUACCUAUAAGACUGGGAUAACUUCGGGAAACCGGAGCUAAUACCGGAUAAUAUAUUGAACCGCAUGGUUCAAUAGUGAAAGACGGUUUUGCUGUCACUUAUAGAUGGAUCCGCGCCGCAUUAGAUAGUUGGUAAGGUAACGGCUUACCAAGGCAACGAUGCGUAGCCGACCUGAGAGGGUGAUCGGCCACACUGGAACUGAGACACGGUCCAGACUCCUACGGGAGGCAGCAGUAGGGAAUCUUCCGCAAUGGGCGAAAGCCUGACGGAGCAACGCCGCGUGAGUGAUGAAGGUCUUCGGAUCGUAAAACUCUGUUAUUAGGGAAGAACAAAUGUGUAAGUAACUAUGCACGUCUUGACGGUACCUAAUCAGAAAGCCACGGCUAACUACGUG